CUUACGGGAGGCACCAGUAGGGAUUCUUCCCCAAUGGACGAAAUUCUGACGGAGCAACGCCGCGUGAGUGAUGAAGGUUUUCGGAUCGUAAAGCUCUGUUGUUAGGGAAGACCAAGUGCGAGAGUAACUGCUCGCACCUUGACGGUACCUAACCAGAAAGCCACGGCUAACUACGUGCCAGCAGCCGCGGUAAUACGUAGGUGGCAAGCGUUGUCCGGAAUUAUUGGGCGUAAAGGGCUCGCAGGCGGUUUCUUAAGUCUGAUGUGAAAGCCCCCGGCUCAACCGGGGAGGGUCAUUGGAAACUGGGAAACUUGAGUGCAGAAGAGGAGAGUGGAAUUCCACGUGUAGCGGUGAAAUGCGUAGAGAUGUGGAGGAACACCAGUGGCGAAGGCGACUCUCUGGUCUGUAACUGACGCUGAG
rnacentral:rRNA from 1 species